AGGCCUGAGGUACUGGAAGGUCCUCAGGCCGAAAGGGGCUCUGCCCGCCCGAGGAUGGGCCGGCGGCCGAUUAGGUAGUUGGUGGGGUAACGGCCCACCAAGCCGAAGAUCGGUACGGGCCAUGAGAGUGGGAGCCCGGAGAUGGACACUGAGACACGGGUCCAGGCCCUACGGGGCGCAGCAGGCGCGAAACCUCCGCAAUGCGGGCAACCGCGACGGGGGGACCCCCAGUGCCGUGGCAACGCCACGGCUUUUCCGGAGUGUAAAAAGCUCCGGGAAUAAGGGCUGGGCAAGGCCGGUGGCAGCCGCCGCGGUAAUACCGGCGGCCCGAGUGGUGGCCGCUAUUAUUGGGCCUAAAGCGUCCGUAGCCGGGCCCGUAAGUCCCUGGCGAAAUCCCACGGCUCAACCGUGGGGCUUGCUGGGGAUACUGCGGGCCUUGGGACCGGGAGAGGCCGGGGGUACCCCUGGGGUAGGGGUGAAAUCCUAUAAUCCCAGGGGGACCGCCAGUGGCGAAGGCGCCCGGCUGGAACGGGUCCGACGGUGAGGGACGAAGGCCAGGGGAGCGAACCGGAUUAGAUACCCGGGUAGUCCUGGCUGUAAAGGAUGCGGGCUAGGUGUCGGGCGAGCUUCGAGCUCGCCCGGUGCCGAAGGGAAGCCGUUAAGCCCGCCGCCUGGGGAGUACGG
rnacentral:rRNA from 1 species